GGAGAGGUGUCCGAGUGGCCGAAGGAGCAGCACUGGAAAUGCUGUAUCGGGCUUAAACCCGAUCGCGGGUUCGAAUCCCGCCCUCUCCG
rnacentral:tRNA from 1 species